rnacentral:rRNA from 1 species
UACGUAGGGUGCUAGCGUUGUCCGGAUUUAUUGGGCGUAAAGAGCGCGUAGGCGGCCGGGUAAGUCCGACGUGAAAUCUGGAGGCUCAACCUCCAGCGGUCGUUGGAAACUACUCGGCUAGAGUCUGGAAGAGGAGAGUGGAAUUCCUGGUGUAGCGGUGAAAUGCGCAGAUAUCAGGAAGAACACCGAUGGCGAAAGCAGCUCUCUGGGACGUUACUGACGCUGAGGCGCGAAAGCGUGGGGAGCGAACAGG